GGGUCAGUAGGUUGGUCGUGCCACCGGUACGUACUGGCCUCACUGAUUCCUCCUUCCUGAAGAACCGUAAUGCCAUUAAUUUGGUGCUGCGGGGAAACAGGACUGUUACUUUGAAAAAAUUAGAGUGUUUAAAGCAAGCUAACGCUUGAAUACAUUAGCAUGGAAUAAUGAAAUAGGACGAUCGAUCCUAUUUUGAUGGUUUCUAGGAUUGACGUA
rnacentral:rRNA from 1 species